AAUACCCUGCCUUGUUCGCUAACAGGCAAAAAUCUCUAACCUUCCAUUAUGUAAGGGAGCCGGAAUUCGGCGUGGAGCGGAUCCGCAAGGAACCCAGAAACGCAGACUAUGGCACCCACCUCGGAGACGAGGUUCAGAGAUUGACGCCGCUACGACUCGGGUGGGGUAUUU
rnacentral:other from 1 species